rnacentral:rRNA from 1 species
GAUGAACGCUGGCGGCGUGCCUAAUACAUGCAAGUCGAGCGAACAGACCAUGCGCUUUCUCCUCUUACCUUACCGGCGGACGGGUCGGUAACGCGUUGAUCACCUCCCUAUAAUACUGGGAGAACAUCGGGAAUCCUGCGCUAAUACCGGAUAAUAUAUUUAACCUCAGGUUUCAAUAGUUUGAGACGUUGUUGCUGUCACUUGUCGAUGGAUCCGCGCCGCAUGAGCUAGUUGGUAAGGUAACGGCUUACCAAGGCAACGAUGCGUAGCCGAACUGAGAGGGUGAUCGGCCACACUGGAACUGAGACACGGUCCAGACUCCUACGGGAGGCAGCAGUAGGGAAUCUUACGCAAUGGGCGAAAGCCUGACGGAGCAACGCCGAGUGAGUGAUGAAGGUCUUCGGAUCGUAAAAAUCUGUUAUUAGGGAAGAACAAAUGUGUAAGUAAAUAUGCACGUAUUGACGGUACCUAAAGAGAAAGCACCGGCUAACUACGUG